GGAGAGAUCAUCAUAAAAUAAACCAGGAGCGAUUCUGGCAGCGGUAGUGGCGCUCGCACUCUUCUUCCCACGUACCGCUUUAGCCGACCACCACAAAUCCACACAGUGACAAUAAUUAAUCUCUGCUUGCAACCUCAACACCACACCACACUAUCUACCGGACUCUCGCUUCAGUGUUGCUACUUUUCGUUUAAAAUACGCUCUGGAUUAGCGAGGGACAGCACAAUAUCCGGGGGCUACCACGACUCGUUCUUCUCCCCUCAUAAUCUGAAUGACGGGCGGACGGUUCGAUUUUGACGAUGGUGGCACAUAUUGCGGUGGCUGGGAGGAUGGAAAAGCCCAUGGGCAUGGCGUCUGUACCGGGCCCAAGGGCCAAGGAGAAUACUCCGGGUCCUGGAACAAUGGUUUUGAGGUAGUGGGGGUGUACACCUGGCCCAGUGGAAACGUGUAUCAGGGUUACUGGGCACAGGGGAAACGACACGGAUUCGGUGUGGAAUCGAAGGGAAAAUGGAUUUAUCGUGGUGAAUGGACUCAUGGAUUUAAAGGUCGAUACGGGGUCCGGCAAAGUCUCCACACGCCUGCUAGAUACGAUGGGACAUGGAGUAACGGUCUGCAAGAUGGAUAUGGAGUUGAAACGUAUGGUGAUGGAGGUACGUACCAGGGGCAGUGGACAGGAGGGAUGCGACACGGAUAUGGUGUGCGGCAAAGUGUACCUUACGGGAUGGCUACGGUUAUUCGCUCACCUCUUCGAACCUCGCUGGCCUCGCUCCGCAGCGAACAGAGCAACGGCACCGUCCUCCAUGCCAACCUCGACCUGUCAGACAACCUUGCCGGCACCAGAGGAGGCUUUGUUCUCAACUUCCACAGCGAAGGCGAAGGUGAGAAGAAAAAAGGCCUGUUCCGAAGAGGGUCCCUGUUCGGCAGCCUCAGAAACCUCAGAAAGUCUGACUCCAGGUCGUCCAUAUCAAGCAAACGCAGCUCCGCCCGCAGCGAUGCCGCCAGCUCCAUCAGCCGAAUCAGCUCCAGUGAUGCCAAUUCCACCAUCAGCUUCGGAGAUGGAGUUGAUGAGUACAUGCCCCUGGAGGACAAUGUAGAUGCCACCACCACUGAGUCCUACAUGGGGGAGUGGAAGAACGACAAGCGGAACGGCUUUGGUGUCAGCGAGCGCACCAACGGGAUGAAGUAUGAGGGAGAGUGGAUGAACAAUAAACGCCACGGCUACGGAUGCACAUUGUUCCCAGAUGGCACCAAAGAAGAGGGGAAAUAUAAAAACAAUGUGUUGGCGCGAGGCAUCAAGAAACAGCUCAUUCCUCUCAAAAACACCAAAACUAAACAGAAAGUGGAUCGGGCUGUGGAAGGAGCCAUACGGGCAGCAGCUAUUGCCAAAACAAAAGUAGAAAUAGCCACUUCAAGAACGGCUCACGCCAGGACUAAAGGUGAUGCUGCUGACCAAGCCGGUCAGUCAGCCAGUCAGGAUUCAGACAUCGCCAGGGCAGUGGCCAGGGAACUGUCUCCCAACUUCCAUCAGCCAGGCCCUGAUUAUAUAAAGCAGAGGUUCAAUGAACCUAUUGAACCUAUUGUCCAAGAGGAGAAGAAAGAGAAGUCCUCCUCAAGCAGCCCUCAUUUCUACCGUAAAGGCACAACCCCAGACCACUCUCCCACUGCGACUCCCCAGCCCUCUCCCCCACCAACACCCCCACCAGCGCCAGCCCCAGAGCCCAAGAAGAGCCUCUUCAGCAAGCUCACCCCCAAGCCAGGGAAAGAGAAUAAAACCCCUUCAGCAGAGAGCCAGGCCCCGGUCAUCACAAAGGCAGUCUCUAAGACAUCGUUGAAACAGGAAGUAAGACAAGAAGUGCCUCCCCAACCGAAAACUUUCAAGAUGGCGGAGUCGGUCCCCGUCAGCCCUGGCAAUGGACAGCUGCACACUGACACUGAGUACCACGGCUACUACAUGAAGGCAGACGUGAAGAUCCCCCCAGAUGAACCUGAGGGAGUAGAGGAGGAGCAUGUUACCCCGUCCACCUUUGCCCAGAUGCCACAGCCCGCAAAACCUAUGACGCAAUACAGGACACCCACCCCAAAACCUGGAGCGCCAAAGUCAGCAGCCAAAGAAAGCAAACCUGAGCUAACACUUAAGAAACAAGAUUCGUAUAAGCCAAAAAGCCUAGCGGAAACUAGGAAACAAGCCAGCUUGGAGAUCACCACGGAUUUCGUAGAGGAAGAGUCAGUAAGUAACUCAUACUGUAUGAUGAUGAAAAUGGGAAAACUGAAGCAAAGAGAAAGAAAGGUGUCAUUUCAGAACAACGUAUGAAACAUCAAAGGGUCCUAACUCAAUACUGGUUGCCCUUGUAAUGCUGUUGAAUAUUGGUCUAGCAAUAAUUUUUAUCCAUUUUUUAACCUGACGGAAUCUGAACUGAGUGAACUCAUCAAAACUAGUGGCAUAGGUCCCUAACUCUCUGCAUUUGCGUCAACGGCCUUUAAAAAUGGCACCGGUCAAGCACAGACACAGGCAAAGGAGGACUGUAAAUAGUGUGAAACAUUGGAGAAAGAUGAGACCAGGACCAUUCGGCCCAGACGCUGCCCAGUUUCGCUGGCGAUGAUUUGUGACUCGCUUUGGUUCUGUGAAAGCUGAAGCAAGCAGUCAUUGGGAAAGCAACAAAAAAACAAUCUGCUGAUCCAAGCUGUUUACCAGUCAAGUGCGUUGCCACUUCAUAUGCCCUGACAGGGGGGAUGUGGAGGGGGGUGGGCAGGGGGGAUAUGUUCAGAGAUGCACUUUUAGUUGACAGAAGCUAGCAGCUGCCUUACUAUUUUACCAUCUGACGUUUUAGUGGGGAGAUGCAGUGCACAAGGCUGCCAGAGGAAUGUGUUUCGGCAGACUUUGCUGCCUUGGGAGUGCGUCUCGGUGUUCACUAUACUAUUCACUUGGUCGAUAAGAAAUCAUACAUGAUUCGAAGUGGCACUCACCAGUCUUAUUCCAUUCCCCACUGCUAAAGCCUUGUCUAACUUCUCAUGUUAGGACAUGCUUGUGCAUGGGGCUGUUUCAACUGCAUCUGUUUUAUGUAUUAGUUAGUAACUGUUAGGUUUUCAUAAUUGUUUUCCCUUUGUCCGUUUAUCCUUAGGUAUUACAAAUUAUUAAGAUAAGAUAGUAUUUAUUUAAGUCUAGUCCUUGCAUUUCUCAAACUUUUUGAAGAUCCUUCAAAUUCAAAGGAAUUUCCAUAAAGCCUAUGUUACACAAAUCAGUUCAUUUGAGGACAUAUUUCUAAAUAGUCAAAUUUGAGAGUAAUUUAUAUGCAAUUGAAGUAUCUUAGCAGUAUACAGGCACAGAUGUUUUUGACUAAUCAGCUAUUGGCUGGAGGCUGGCUACAUAUAACACAAACAAAUAAGAUGACAUAGUUAACCAACACUGAGAUAAAAAAAAGUAUACUUUAUUUGAAGAUGUUAGUAAUUUAGAGCUAAAUUUGGGAUAUUGAAUAAUUUUCCGACUGAUUCAAUAAAACACAUUUUUAUCUAUCUAUCUAUCUAUCUAUCUAUCUAUCUAUCUAUCUAUCUAUCUAUCUAUCUAUCUAUCUAUCUAUCUAUCUAUCCAGUGAUAAAGUUUGUUAACAUGGCUAGUCAUUCACACAGUGUACUUUAUGUAUACUGACCCUACAGUAUAUUGCACCAAAUUGGUUGCUUGUAAUUUGAUUGAUUUUAAGGCAAAGGACUGUAGUUUUGGGUGUGGUUUGCACUUGCAGAUAGAUUUUGCCAGUUUUUCUUGUGCAAUCAAGGAUCAAUGUGCAAACAUUUUUUAGUCUAAAGUGUUUUGUUAAAUAAAGGCAUAAUGCUUCAUUUUCAAAUGGAAGCAUAUGACUUUCCAAUUUCUUAUUUUUUUCCUAUUUUGUAGGAAAUAUGGCGUCCAACAUUGAUUUAUUGCCACAUGAAUAUAACAUACACAGUAGAUUGGCACAUGAAGAUAAUACAUAAGAAUAAAGUGAUUUGUUUGGUUUGAUUUUAAUUAGAAAAUAUGCAGUUGCAUCUUGUAGAAUAAUGUUGAGGAAUUGUUAGAUUUUAAAUAAAUAAAAACUGUGUGCACAGGUUGGUUGGUUGAUGCAUGUCAAAUUGUUUCCUUAAUAGUUUGGCGUCUUUAAUUUGGCCAAGCCAACACCACAGCUAGCCUACCAACACUGGACCUCAUACUUACUAACUUGCACGGUUGUGAAAGCAGCCCAAUGCUCGAAACCUACUCCGCAAUAACACCUUGUUAUGUGUGUUGAAUACAUUCAGGUAGAGUAAAUGGUUGGCUAAAUGUCGUAACAUUAGCAUGACGUUCCCGUUUACUAUGGAUAAGACAGUAGAGAGAGAGUCAUUGUCUUAAAUAUGUGAAAGUCUAAUUACUGUAUUCAAUGUCAUCAAUAUAAUAUUUUAUUUUUGUUGUGACUAGUUAGCUAAGCAUGCCUAUUCGGUUUUAUUUUUUGAAUAAUAAAUAUGUUCUGUUUGCUCAGUUAAAAUAGAAUUAAAUGUAUUAUAUUUAUAAAACUACAUUUUGGUAAACUGUUUGAUAGGUGUAGGAGAUGCAUUUUCACUGGUUAUGGUAACAUUUCCAUUUGCAACAAUGCAGAGAGUAUGGUAUGAGGAGGAUAUGAAGGAUGCAUCAGUUGGAAUUCAGGGCAGUAACAUUGAGAUGUUUUACAGAGGUUUGGUCAGACAGACUGCCACAGAGAGAAUGUGAGAUUGGAAGAAGAAAGCAUCAGAAGGGGAAAUGGCUCCAGAUAUGUUUAUUACUACUUUUCUGCGUGUAAAGUAAUAAAGAACAUUUAGAGCACAGAGUUAAAGGGCAAUUCCGGCACUUUAUUCCCCCUCAUAUUCAUGAUCUCUUGCACCAUACCACCCACUGGGCACAGAUGUCAAGUCUGAGCACAUAGGUUCAAUGUAAUUUCAUUGAAAUGACAUGGAAACAACGUUGAUUCAACCACUAUGUGCUCAGUGGGCAUUGUCUACAUAUAUGAAAACGGUGCAUUUCUAUGAUCCGUGGUUAAAAAGAGGAAAUGCCUAAAAAAAUGCCUCUCCAUGACAUCACAGGGUAGGACUAAAAGUAAGAAAAACUGUGAUUUUCAAAAACUUGUAACGAGUUUGUAGCCAGAGGGAGGGUAUUUUCUUGCUCCCAACGUCAACACAAAUCUCAUAGUGUUUGAAAAUCACUGUUUUUAAACUGUCUUAACUUUUGAUGUCAUCAGGUGGAGCUUUUUACUUCAUAUUUUUUCUACUAAAUAUAGAAAUGUGCCGUUUCCACAUCUGUAGACACUGGUAUUGUGCUGGAGAUAAUGAAAAUGGGCUUGAAAAGUGGGUGGAGUUGCCCUUUAAAGAGCACAGGCAAAGUUCAAAGUUGAAAGAACCACAAUGAAUGAUCAAUAAUUUAUUUUUCUUGUCUAAACUGUAUUUGCACACAGCUAUGUAUAAGGCUAUUUUCUACUAAUUGUACCUGAUGCUACAUACAUUUUUUUGGCCAAAAUUCUGAGCUGUUAUUACUGUUUAAAGGCAAAGGAACAGUCUAUUUAUGUAUGAUUGUAUUUUUCUAAAAUGUUCUAAACUAUAUUUUGGAAAACUGGCCUGUAAACUUUUGGAAAAUGUAACUUACAAUUUGAUAGAUAUUUUUAAUUAGUGAUUUUAAUAUCAAUUCAAUAUUUGUGAACUGCUGCCAGGCUUACAAAGAAUAUAACUGAAUACAAAAUAAACAACAUUAAGCUA